rnacentral:rRNA from 1 species
CCUACGGGAGGCAGCAGUGGGGAAUCUUGCGCAAUGUGCGAAAGCCUGACGCAGCAACGCCGCGUGCGGGAAGAAGGCUUUCGGGCUGUAAACCGCUUUCAGCAGGAACGAAAAUGACGGUACCUGCAGAAGAAGGAGCGGCCAACUAUGUGCCAGCAGCCGCGGUGAUACAUAGGCUUCAAGCGUUGUCCGGAUUUAUUGGGCGUAAAGAGUUCGUAGGCGGUCAAGUAAGUCGGGUGUGAAAAUUCUGGGCUCAACCCAGAGACGCCACCCGAUACUGCUUAACUUGAGUUCGAUAGGGGAGUGGGGAAUUCCUAGUGUAGCGGUGAAAUGCGCAGAUAUUAGGAGGAACACCGGUGGCGAAGGCGCCACUCUGGAUCGAUACUGACGCUGAGGAACGAAAGCAUGGGUAGCAAACAGGAUUAGAUACCCUGGUAGUCCAUGCCGUAAACGGUGGGCACUAGGUGUGGGUUUCUAUUAACGAAAUCCGCGCCGUCGCUAACGCAUUAAGUGCCCCGCCUGGGGAGUACGGUCGCAAGACUAAACUUAAAGGAAUUGAACGGNUGAGAGUGCGAGCGACACGAGGAGAGG